CUUUGUUCUUCAAUAAGUUGUUGCAUGAAGAAACUAUUCCCGACGAAUGGUGCGACAGUUUGCUGGUGCCCAUUUUUAAAAACAAAGGGGAUGUACAGGAAUGCAACAACUAUAGAGGAAUAAAGCUCAUGUCACAUAGCAUGAAAAUAUGGGAAAAAGUGAUAGAGAGACGCCUGAGACACGAGAGUGAUAUAACACAAAACCAAUUUGGGUUUAUGCCAGGGAGAGGUACAACAGACGCCAUUUUUGCACUUCGCCAACUGUGCGAAAAAUACAGACGUGCAAAAAAGAACUUGCAUAUGGUGUUUGUGGACCUUGAAAAGGCAUACGAUCGAGUACCCCGAGAGGUUUUGUGGUGGGCUUUGAAAGAGAAAAGCGUGCCUGGGAAGUAUGUGGAGCUAAUUCGGUCAAUCUGCUGGCACCACCGACAGGUUCAGUGUCACGGUAGGCUUGCACCAGGGAUCGGCCUUAAGUCCUUACCUCUUCCUGCUUAUUAUGGACGCUCUGUCGUCGGACAUACAGGAGGAGGCACCCUGGUGUAUGCUUUUCGCUGAUGACAUUGUGCUUGUGGGUGAAGACGGACUCGAGGUACAGAGCAGACUUGAGAAAUGGCGGCAUAAGCUGGAGAAUGUUGGCCUGAAGAUCAGCAGAUCUAAAACUGAGCAUAUGUUCUGCGAUUUCGGCGGUCUCUCCAGUUUCGCUGCCAUGGAACUCGAUGGCGUUACGUUGCCGGUCUGCUCCGACUUCAAGUACCUCGGUUCGCUGGUACAGUGCGAUGGCGAUAUUGACCGUGAUGUGAAAAACCGGAUUAGCACAGGAUGGAUGAAAUGGCGACAGGUCACGGGAACCAUUUGCGACGCCCGAAUGCCUCUUCGAUUGAAGGGUAAAAUUUAUAAAACCAUCAUAAGACCUGUCGUCAUGUAUGGAUCGGAGUGUUGGGCCCUAAAGGUGACGGAUGAAAAGAGGUUGCAUGUAGCGGAGAUGAGAAUGUUAAGAUGGAUGUGUGGUGUGACAAGAAUGGAUAGGAUAAGGAAUGAGUAUAUAAGAGGAAGCCUAAAAGUUGCACCUAUAGUAGAAAAAGUAAGAGCGAAUCGCCUAGCGUGGUACGGGCAUGUGAUGCGGAGGGAUGAAAGUCAUGUGACGAAAAAGGUAUUACGAAUGAAUGUGGAGGGAAGUAAUGGGAGAGGAAGACCGAGAAAAGGGUGGAUGGACUGUGUGAGAGAUGAUAUGAAGCGAACGCAAGUGAAUGAUGAGAUGACGGGCGAGAGAGAGGUAUGGAAGAAAAAGACAUGCUGCGCCGACCCCAAAUGAAUGGGAUAA